rnacentral:rRNA from 1 species
AUGUUCGGGUUCGGGCACCACCACAAGGACCAGGCGCCGGCGGCGUCGGGCCCCAACCAGAUCUUCAAGAUCUACUGCCGGGCCUCGGAGGACUACUGCCUCGCCGUCCGCGACGGCGAGGUGGUGCUCGCCCCCGUCAACCCCAAGGACGAGACCCAGCACUGGCUCAAGGACAUGCGCUUCAGCACCACCGUCAAGGACGAGGAGGGCAUGCCGGCCUUCGCGCUCGUCAACAAGGCCACCGGCCUCGCCGUCAAGCACUCCAUCGGCCAGUCCCACCCCGUGAAGCUGGUGCCGUUCAACCCGGCGUACGAGGACGCGUCGGUGCUGUGGACGGAGAGCAAGGACGUGGGCAAGGGCUUCCGCUGCAUCCGCAUGGUCAACAACACCCGCCUCAACUUCGACGCCCUCAACGGCGACAAGGACCACGGCGGCGUGCACGACGGCACCACCGUCGUGCUCUGGGAGUGGUGCAAGGGGGACAACCAGUGCUGGAAGAUCUGGCCCUGGGCCGAGGCGCACGCCGCCGUCGAGUCCGGCGCCACCAUGGGCAACAACGCCCACGCCAUGGGCGGCGGCCCCCCCGUGCAUGCCGUGCGCGUCUUCUGCAAGGCCGGCGAGGACUACAGCCUCACCGCCCGCAACGGCACCGUCUGCCUCGCCCCCACCAACCCCAGGGACGACUACCAGCACUGGAUCAAGGACAUGAGGCACAGCAACAAGAUCAGGGACGAGGAAGGGUACCCUGCGUUUGCGCUGGUGAACAAGGUCACCGGCGAAUGCAUCAAGCACUCCACCGGCCAGGGCCACCCCGUGAAGCUGGUGCCGUACAACCCGGCGUACCAGGACGAGUCGGUGCUGUGGACGGAGAGCCGCGACGUGGGCAAGGGCUUCCGCUGCGUCCGCAUGGUGAACAACAUCUACCUCAACUUCGACGCCUUCCACGGCGACAAGGCCCACGGCGGCGUCCACGACGGCACCGAGGUCGUGCUCUGGAAGUGGUGCGAGGGCGACAACCAGCGCUGGAAGAUCCUCCCCUGGUGUAAAGAUGAGAUGCCAGGAGAGCUUUCGCAUUGCCAUCGACACAUCGCCAUGGAUUAG